AUUGAACGCUGGCGGCAGGCCUAACACAUGCAAGUCGAGCGGAUGAAGGGAGCUUGCUCCUGGAUUCAGCGGCGGACGGGUGAGUAAUGCCUAGGAAUCUGCCUGGUAGUGGGGGAUAACGUCCGGAAACGGGCGCUAAUACCGCAUACGUCCUGAGGGAGAAAGUGGGGGAUCUUCGGACCUCACGCUAUCAGAUGAGCCUAGGUCGGAUUAGCUAGUUGGUGGGUAAAGGCCUACCAAGGCGACGAUCCGUAACUGGUCUGAGAGGGUGAUCAGUCACACUGGAACUGAGACACGGUCCAGACUCCUACGGGAGGCAGCAGUGGGGAAUAUUGGACAAAGGGCGAAAGCCUGAUCCAGCCAUGCCGCGUGUGUGAAGAAGGUCUUCGGAUUGUAAAGCACUUUAAGUUGGGAGGAAGGGCAGUAAGUUAAUACCUUGCUGUUUUAACGUUACCAACAGAAUAAGCACCGGCUAACUUCGUG
rnacentral:rRNA from 1 species